GACGAACGCUGGCGGCGUGCCUAAUACAUGCAAGUCGAACGCAGUGGGGACGGGUGAGUAACACGUGGGUAACCUCCCAUCAGAGGGGAUAAAACUUGGAAACAGGUGCUAAACCGAUACGGGUGGAUGGACCCGCGGUGCAUUAGCUAGUUGGGGGGGUAACGGCUUACCAAGGCCACGAUGUAUAGCCGGCCGGAGAGGAUGAUCGGCCACACUGGGACUGAGACACGGCCCAGACUCCUACGGGAGGCAGCAGUAGGGAAUAUUCGGCAAUGGACGGAAGUCUGACCGAGCAACGCCGCGUGAGUGAAGAAGGUUUUCGGAUCGUAAAACUCUUUUAUUAGGGAAGCGGUAUCUAACGAAGAAGCCACGGCUAACUACGUGCCAGCCGCCGCGGUAAUAC
rnacentral:rRNA from 1 species